rnacentral:rRNA from 1 species
GAUGAACGCUGGCGGCGUGCCUAAUACAUGCAAGUCGAGCGAACGGACGAGAAGCUUGCUUUUCUGAUGUUAGCGGCGGACGGGUGAGUAACACGUGGAUAACCUACCUAUAAGACUGGGAUAACUUCGGGAAACCGGAGCUAAUACCGGAUAAUCUUUUGAACCGCAUGGUUCAAAAGUGAAAGACGGUCUUGCUGUCACUUAUCGAUGGAUCCGCGCUGCAUUAGCUAGUUGGUAAGGUAACGGCUUACCAAGGCAACGAUGCAUAGCCGACCUGAGAGGGUGAUAGGCCACACUGGAACUGAGACACGGUCCAGACUCCUACGGGAGGCAGCAGUAGGGAAUCUUACGCAAUGGGCGAAAGCCUGACGGAGCAACGCCGCGUGAGUGAUGAAGAUCUUCGGAUCGUAAAACUCUGUUAUUAGGGAAGAACAUAUGUGUAAGGAACUGUGCACAUAUUGACGGUACCUAAUCAGAAAGCCACGGCUAACUACGUG